rnacentral:rRNA from 1 species
AUGUCGGCGUGGCGAUCCUUCCUCUCACGAUCUCACCCUCUCCUCUCCCGUCUCCGGCCUGCACGGAGCCAUGCCAGCCACCUUCCUUCCGUUCGUGCCAACAGCCAGCUGAUCGGCUCACGACAAUACGCCUCCAAUGGCGAUUUACGAGCAGAGGUUAACCGGCAGCAUCCAGCGGCGCAGGAGACGCGAAAGCGGCACCUAUACGUGGUGUUAGAUGACCACAAGGACAGCUACGGCAUCCACAAGCUGGAUAUGGACGGCGAUGAUCUAGGCGGCGCCCACCCUAGCUCUCCGCGACGCUUUCCGGUGCUUCCGGCCCUCAGCGUGGCACGCGCAACCUUGAGCGAAUGGGCCAAGUUCACCGCCGUGGGCAGCAGCAUCGUCGGCAUAGGUCGCAAACCAGAUGGAUUCAGUGAAGACGACGGCCGUGUCCUCAUCUACGACACCAAGACGACGCGGAUGGUCGUCUCGCCUCAGCUCCCUGAAGGCCUCGAGUACGGCUACCAGGCGGCCAUGGCCGUCGGCCAAAGACUGUACUUCCUCGAGUCCGUCUCGGGUUUACACUCCCUUCAUCGUGAUGAAGUGCACCCCGGGGGCGAGUACAAAUAUAUGUACAACGGGGCCUUGCACUGCCUCGCCGUUGAUCCCGACGUCGACGUCGGAGGCUCCGGGAACAAGUUGUGGUCCUGGAGUGCCGACGACCGUCUUCUCGGCGUCCCGUUCCAUGCCAAUACCAUUACCGCGCACGCGGUGCACGCGCCACCCGGGUCAGUGGCAGCGGAUCACGACAUCUAUGUGUCCGCCCUAGUCGACACGGUCAUGCCGAAGGGCGUUACUUUCUCUUUCAGCACGGCGAGCGGCAAGUGGACACGGCGCGGCUACUGGCAGCUGCCCGUCGUCGGCCACGCCCACUAUGACGACCAGUUGGAUGCGUGGCUCGGUCUCCACGCCGGCGAGGGAAGCAUCAAUUCUCCUCGCUUGAUUGACGGAUACCUCUGCGCCGGUAACAUCGCAUCAGCCCCGCCGGAGUGGAAGGUUGGUACGGAGAAGUUGUUCCACCGGGAGGAGGACAUGGCAGCAGGCUGGAGGCACUUCGACGCAAAGCUCGUGCCCAUGGCGCUAGGCUUAGGGGGCAAUGAGUACUGUCUCAUGGAGCGCCUGAGGCCAGAGGGAGACGUCAAGGAGACCUUGGGGGACGGCGACAAGUGGAGGCUGCGGCUUACCACCUUCCGUGUCGAGCGUGGUCCGGAUGCCGGGCCUGUGGUCACGGCUCGCCGCCCGGCUCACUGCUACAGAAUUUCCAGAUACAACAAGUACUUUGACGCUCAGGCAUUCUGGAUGUAA